rnacentral:rRNA from 1 species
CUACGGGAGGCAGCAGUGGGGAAUAUUGCGCAAUGGGCGAAAGCCUGACGCAGCGACGCCGCGUGUGGGAUGAAGGUCUUCGGAUUGUAAACCACUGUCGCGAGGGACGAAGCUCUGACGGUACCUCGAAAGGAAGCACCGGCUAACUCUGUGCCAGCAGCCGCGGUAAUACAGAGGGUGCAAGCGUUGUCCGGAAUCACUGGGCGUAAAGGGCGCGUAGGCGGCUUGGUAAGUAGGGGGUGAAAUCUCACGGCUCAACUGUGAGGCUGCCUUCUAGACUGCCGGGCUUGAGCACAGUAGAGGCUGGUGGAAUUCCCGGUGUAGCGGUGGAAUGCGUAGAGAUCGGGAAGAACAUCUGUGGCGAAGGCGGCCAGCUGGGCUGUUGCUGACGCUGAUGCGCGACAGCGUGGGGAGCAAACAGGAUUAGAUACCCCGGUAGC